UAGGGAAUAUUGGACAAUGGGCGAAAGCCUGAUCCAGCCACGCCGCGUGCGCGAUGACGGCCUUCGGGUUGUAAAGCGCUUUUAGAGGAGAUGAGAAAGGACAGUAUCCUCUGAAUAAGCAUCGGCGAACUCCGUGCCAUCAGCCGCGGUAAACCAUAGGAGGCUAGCGUUAUCCGGAUUUAUUGGGCGUAAAGCGCGUGCAGGCGGUCUGGUAAGUUGGAUGUGAAAGCUCCUGGCUUAACUGGGAGAGGGCGUUCAAUACUGUCAGACUAGAGAAUGUGAGAGGGAGGUGGAAUUCCGGGUGUAGUGGUGAAAUGCGUAGAGAUCCGGAGGAACACCAGUGGCGAAAGCGGCCUCCUGGACCACUUCUGACGCUAAGACGCGAAAGCUAGGGUAGCAAACG
rnacentral:rRNA from 1 species